rnacentral:rRNA from 1 species
GAGGAAGGAACAUUAUCAAUAGUCCCGGGGGGAAACUCCUAGCGGCUAUAUCCUUUGAUUAUCUAUCUUUGUUGCUUUGGCGGACCGGGCGUCAUGCCCCGGCGGUCAGGUGCGAGCCCGCCUGCCGAGCGUCCGUCAGAGACCCAACUAAACCCGUUAUACUCUUGUCGUCUGAAUUAAAAACAAAUAAGUUAAAACUUUCAACAACGGAUCUCUUGGUUCUGGCAUCGAUGAAGAACGCAGCGAAAUGCGAUAAGUAAUGUGAAUUGCAGAAAUCGUGAAUCAUCGAAUCUUUGAACGCACAUUGCACCUUCUGGUAUUCCGGGAGGUAUGCCUGUUCGAGCGUCAUUACAACCUCAAGCCCAGCUUGGUAUUGGUGGUUCGCCUCCCCGGGGGCGCCGCCGAAAGACAGCGGCACAGCUGCCCGGCUUCUAAGCGUAGUAACUUACCCUCGCUUCGGAAGUUCCGGGUGGACCUGUCGCCGGACAAUCAACCAUUUUUCUCAGGUUGACCUCGAAUCAGGUAGGGAUACCCGCUGAACUUAAGCAUAUCAAUAAGCGGAGGAA